UACGUAGGGUGCAGGCGUUAAUCGGAAUUACUGGGCGUAAAGCGUGCGCAGGCGGUCUCUUAAGACAGGUGUGAAAUCCCCGGGCUUAACCUGGGAACUGCGCUUGUAACUGAGAGGCUAGAGUGUGGCAGAGGGGGGUGGAAUUCCACGUGUAGCAGUGAAAUGCGUAGAGAUGUGGAGGAACACCGAUGGCGAAGGCAGCCUCCUGGGCCAACACUGACGCUCAUGCACGAAAGCGUGGGGAGCAAACAGG
rnacentral:rRNA from 1 species